rnacentral:lncRNA from 1 species
UAUCGAUCGAUAUCAUUUUAUCCGGGCUUUGCAAUGUAUGAAAUCUUACAUUACACUUUCCUUUCAUUAUCAUCAUGUUUCAUCCACUGUUCUGUGUUGGUCAGUCAACUUCCUCCAUUUCACUCUAUCUAGCCAAAUCUGUUUUUCAAUAGUUGUCCAAUCAUUUUCAGUUUUUCUCAGUAUCUUUUCUCUCUUUUUUUUGAGGGCGUCUCUGGGUCUUUUCCCAUUAAUCCGCUUCUCAAACAUCAUUUUGGGCAAACUAUCUUCAUUUUGCCUUUUCAUGUGGCCAAACCAUCUUAAUCUAGAGUAGGUCAUAACUGUGUCGAUACUUUCUAUGUUUAAAGUAUUAUUUUCUCUCUUCGUAUUUUGUUUACUAUUGUUUUUAGGAAUGUUGCAACGGACGACUGAAUGGCAAUGGUCGUCGACGACGGAAACGCGACUGAAAAUAACUUCAAGAAAUGCUCUACGUUAUAAAAAUUCAAAUUUAAUAUAUAUUAAAAAAAGCGAUAUGGAUAAUAAUCGGGUUAAAAUAUGAAGUGAAUGAUCCAUUCAAGUCCACAGACUGCCUGCAUUGUAAUAGUUGAUCUGUAGAGUAUAAUAAUCAGCAAAUUUUCAAGAAAACAUUCCAAGGUAUAAGACCCAAAUUCAAUUCUACAUACUCUGAAUGGAAUGCUGUAAAAUCUUUUAUGCAUUUCUGCUAAUUCGGCAUAUCGUUCUGUUAUUUAAUUAUAUUGUACAUGCUGUAUUCAAGCCAAGCAGCUAACAAAGACUGACUCAACAACAAAUUGAAAUUUCUUAUCAAUGACUUGGCUUAUUAUGUUUGGAUGUUACUGGAGAGGAUAUUAUUGGUUCAUUCAGAAAGCAAAUUAUCUCGCUUCCAUUACAAAUAUAUGAAGAACUUUACAUAAAACAAAUUUAGGGAAAUCAAUAAGAAUUAAACUAAUGAAUAAAAUAAAUAAAAUUUUCUGAACUACAGUCCAAUUUUUAGAACUGAAUGAUAUUGUUAGCCUAACAGAACCAUAUUAGGCUAACAAUAUCACAAAUUUACAAAUGCCAAUAACUCAGAUAUUUUAUUUCCUUGGUCACUAAAAUAUAUACCAUUUUAAUUUAGAAAUUGCAUUUGAAUUAUAUAGAGCUCCAAACAUCUCUGCUAUAUUGUGCCUGAUGUUCUGGCAAACAGUUUCAAGAAUUACUGGACAGAUAAGGACCCAUUAUAUGAUUUAAAGUAGAACCCAGUUUAUACGUUUUUGAAGGGGAUUGAUAAAAAUUACGUACAAGUGAGAU